rnacentral:rRNA from 1 species
GACGAACGCUGGCGGCGCGCCUAACACAUGCAAGUCGAACGAGCGAGCGAGAGCUUUCUUUCUCUAACGAGUGGCGAACGGGUGAGUAACGCGUGAGGAACCUGCCUCAAAGAGGGUGACAACAGUUGGAAACGACUGCUAAUACCGCAUAUGCUCACUUCUCGGCAUCGAGCAGGGGGAAAAGGAGCAAUCCGCUUUCAGAUGGCCUCGAGUCCGAUUAGCUAGUUGGUGGGGUAACGGCCCACCAAGGCGACGAUCGGUAGCCGGACUGAGAGGUUGAACGGCCACAUUGGGACUGAGACACGGCACAGAAUCCUACGGGAGGGAGCAGUGGGGAAUAUUGCAACAUGGGGGAAACCAUGAUGCAGCGACGACGCGUGGAGGAAGAAGGUAUUCGGAUUGUAAACUCCUGUUGUCGGGGAAGAUCAUGACGGUACCCAACAAGGAAGUGACGGCUAACUACGUG